UACGAGUGCCCCAAGCGUUAUCCGGAAUCAUUGGGCGUAAAGGGUGUGUAGGCGGUUCGGUUAGUCUUCUGUCAAAAUCUUGGGCUCAACCCAAGACCUGCAGGGGAAACGGCCGGACUCGAGGGUGCGAGAGGUGAAUGGAACUCAUGGAGUAGGGGUGAAAUCCGUUGAUAUCAUGGGGAACACCAAAAGCGAAGGCAAUUCACUAGCGCACUUCUGACGCUGAGACACGAAAGCGUGGGUAGCGAACGGG
rnacentral:rRNA from 1 species